rnacentral:miRNA from 1 species
UGAGCCUGUGCCCUUCUCACAG